rnacentral:rRNA from 1 species
UGGGGAAUAUUGGACAAUGGGGGCAACCCUGAUCCAGCAAUGCCGCGUGUGUGAAGAAGGUCUUCGGAUUGUAAAGCACUUUCGACGGGGACGAUGAUGACGGUACCCGUAGAAGAAGCCCCGGCUAACUUCGUGCCAGCAGCCGCGGUAAUACGAAGGGGGCUAGCGUUGCUCGGAAUGACUGGGCGUAAAGGGCGUGUAGGCGGUUUACACAGUCAGAUGUGAAAUCCCCGGGCUUAACCUGGGAGCUGCAUUUGAUACGUGUAGACUAGAGUGUGAGAGAGGGUUGUGGAAUUCCCAGUGUAGAGGUGAAAUUCGUAGAUAUUGGG